rnacentral:rRNA from 1 species
GACGAACGCUGGCGGCGUGCUUAACACAUGCAAGUCGAACGGCAAGGCCCUGCUUUUGUGGGGUGCUCGAGUGGCGAACGGGUGCGUAACACGUGAGCAACCUGCUCUUGAUUUUGGGAUAACUUCAGGUAACUGGGGCUAAUAUCGGAUAGGAGCUCCUGUUCCAUGGAGGGGGUUGGAAAGUCUCGGCGGUUGGGGUUGGACUAGCGGCUUAUCAGCUUGUUGGUGGGGUAGUGGCAUACCCAGGCUUUGACGGAUAGGCGGCCUGUGAGGGUGACCGGCCACAUUGGUACUGAGAUACGCCCCAGACUCCUACGGGAGGCAGCAGUGGGGAGUAUUGCACAAUGGGCGGAAGCCUGAGGCAGCAGCGCCGCGUGCGGGAUGACGGCCUUCGGGUUGUAAACCGCUUUCGCCUGUGACGAAGCGUGAGUGACGGUAAUGAAUAAAGAAGCACCGGCUAACUACGUG